rnacentral:rRNA from 1 species
UGCAGUGGUUAUAGCAAAGGGGAUCACCUGAAUCCAUUCCGAACUCAGUAGUUAAGCCCUUUAGUGCCGAAGAUAGCUUUACAGUGAAAAUAGGGAGCCGCUGCUU